AAAAAGCGCAGAUGGCGUGAAGAUGUUUGUUGAGCCACUCUUUUGUCUUUGAUACUCACUGGCAAUGGCUUAUUGGUUUCUGUUUGUGACCACACUGUUGACCCUGCGAUUGCAAGAAUCCAGUGGUCAAAUAACAACUAGACAGUUUCCUUCAAGUCUGUCCCCUCAGGCUGGAGAAACUGUCACAAUCCACUGCAAGGUCUUCAGCUCCACUAGCAUUUUCAGUAGUAGUUACCUGUCCUGGUACCAGCAGAGAUCAGGAGAAGAUCCUAAAUUUCUAAUUUAUGCUGCAAGCUCUCAGGCUUCUGGAAUUUCAAGUCGUUUCAGUAGCAGCGGCUAUGGACUCGAUUACACACUGACAAUCAGUGACGUACAGCCUGAAGACGCAGGACAUUACUACUGUAAGCAAGACAGGAGUACUCCUUUCACACAGUGA